AUUCUUUUCUGGCUGCUGCCAGUCACACAAAGAGUCCCGGCUCGUGUGCGUGAGGCAGGACGUCCUUGUUCCGCGAGGCUGAUUUUGCCUUCGUCCCACUGCCAGGCUGCUCUCUGGCUGUUGCUGGAAGGGAGUGAAGCCCCCCCAUAUGCGUGUUUCCUCGUGGGCUUCCUGUGAUUGUGAGGGCCCCGGUUGCCGUGGCAACUGCCACGUGAGGAAAUUGUCGGAUAAGAUCAUAGCUUCUAGGAAUAGGACCUCAAGUGGUUGUUUGGGGAAAGUGACCCAGAUUGAGAUCCUCUUCGUCUAGCAGCCAGGUCAGACCCAUAAAGACCAGGCCUCAAGGGACAUUCUCAGAAGCCUCUUUCUCAAGCAACAGGAAAGCUCCGGAACUCCAUCCCGGCUCCCAGGCUACUAUUUCAUCCCUGCAGUGGGUGAAAUUCACUCCACGAGGAAGCACUGCAGUCACUCCCCAUGGAGGCUCUUCUUCCAAACUUUCAGCUCUCAGUGGUCAGGGAAGUCUGACCAUUUAUCAUCAUCAGAAAGCAUGAAACUUUCAGUAGAGGAUGGUUAAAAAUGUCCAGGAGCUGGGAGAUUAAGUAACUCGCCCAAAGUUGCACAGCCAAUAAAGCCCCACAUUGACCCAGCUGGUGGCUAGUGCCUUUUGUUAGAACAGAUUUAAAGCAGCUGUCCAUGAAGGGAAGCGAGCAGUGCGGUGGUUUGCUGCCUUUUGACCCCAUCUGCAGCCAGGAUGGCCAAGGCUCCUCUGCAGGAAGAGGCUGUCCCAGUGUCACCCAGAUCUUCACCCAUCCUCAGGUGGCACUGUCACUGGGAUCAGAAAACCAUUCUCCAGGUCAGGGACAACAUUCACAUCAUGACAAUCUGUAAGGCAUGGGCUGCAGGACAGCAGCCCCUUGUCUCAGAGCAGGGUUGUGGAGGAGACACAGUGCCCAUCACCUGCCCUUUCUUUGUCCCAGAGCAGAGGAGGGAAAUGACGAAUCUCAGUGCAGCAGCACGUUAUCCACUUGUGUGGCUGUGCUGCAGUAUUUUUCAUGACAGGUACAGCCACUCCAGUGAAAUCUGGCAGAAUAGAGUCCCAGGGAAAAGUAUGUGGGACAGCACUUGUGCUGGUGCAUCCAGGUGGCCUUCCCAGAAGCAGCCCUCCCUGCGGGUUCUCCCAUGCCAUCUGGGUUUUGUCAUGGUGGUUGCUGGCUCCAUUUUUAUCAUCCCACCUGUGCUCCAGUGAGGCCUGUAUUUAAUACUUCCCACCCAUCAGGCUGGGUGGGAGAAUACUGGCUCCGUCUUACAGAACAGAACAUCUAAGCUGCCUAAUGCUAGUAAGUCUCAACAUUUCAGUCUGGCUUUGCCCUGUCCCUGUGAUACUGUGGGACCUACGUUAAUGGUCAGGCCACCCCCUACUUUAUUCUCUGAGAGGAGCUUCGUCCUGGACGGUGAGGUGUGAAGAAUUACACCCAGUAGAGCAUUGCCUACCCUUUUGUGGUUCCCACUGCCAUCUAGAAAAAGCCACUGGACAGUGGACAGACCCAGUGUAAAGAAACAGAAAGUAAAACACACUGUAAAAUGUUCUGUUCGUGGGGUUCAGAUGAAUGUUCUAUCUCCCAUCCUGUGAGUUUCCAUAUUCAGCACUUUUUGCUUUUCAGCAGUAAAAGCAUUCUCUGUGGGAGGAGAAUUUAACUUUGAUCUUUAGAGAUGCCCUUUAAAUGUGGUUAUGGUCAAAAAAGUGACUGUGAAUACUCAAAGUCAACAGGCAAAGGUAAAUACCACGGGAGACCAGCACUGAACGGGAGGCCCAUGAGGCACAGAAGGCCAUGGCUCUGGAUUCUGUUACACGGCACAGUCCUGGGAGGACGCAGAGAUCCUCUUCUCCGCGCUCACUUAGGCUCAUACCCUUCAUUUGUAAAACGCCAUUAAAUAAAGUACUUUUGUCUGCAAAUAA